UAACUGAUUUCAGCCAUUCUCUAUAGUUUACAUAAAUUGAUGUCUAUUUGUAAGUUUAAACAUAGUCUACUGGUUAUGUUAAAAUAGCCAAGAACAAAUUUCAAAUGUUCUUGUCACACACACACACACAAAUAAGGAUUGGAGGUGAUAUAUAUGUCAAUUGGUUCAAUUCAAUUAUUCCAUAUUGCAUUCAUAAAUCAUAAUAUAGCUUUGUACCCUAUAUAUACAGUCAAAAUUCCUCAAUUUUCAAUGAAAUUUUAACCACAUAUUUUUAAAUCCAUCGUAGGUCAAGAACUUUUCUCCCUGUCCAGGUGUGAUUAGAUUGUCCUGAGAAACUCAUUCACCCUGCUGCCUCCUGAUGGCUUCAUUAUUCUUUUAUCUCUUAGAAUUAUUUUUUCCAGAGCACACGCCCAGGCAGCCCCACAGAUUGGAGCAGUGCCAGGGCUGAGGCUGGUGUGCAGGGGCUGCAGCAUGUGCCUCAGAGGGAGCCAGAGAGGCCAGGUCACAGUGGCCGCCGGAGCAGUGCUGGAGUUGGGAGAACAGCCCAACUUCACCCGAGCCCAAGUCUUCCAGAUUGAUCCCAACAUCAAGAAGAACUGGAUGCUGUGAGCAAGUAGCGGUCACCGUUUCCUCCUUCUAUGACGUCACAAGGAACCGCUAUCGAAUCAUCAGCGUGGGCGGAGCCAAGGUGACCAUCAACUGCACAAUCGCACCAAAUAUGACCUUCCCCAAAACGCCACAGAAGUCUGGGCAGGGGGCCGACAGCAGAGCCCACACGGUGUUUGGUUUGGGGUUUUCCUCUGAGCAGCAGCUGGAAACGUUUGCAGAGAAAUUCCAGGAGCUGAAAGAAGCUGCCGAGAUGCCCAAAGACAAGGCCCAGGAGAAAACCGAGAGCUGGAGUCAUGGUUCCGAAUGAUCUGGGCGU